rnacentral:rRNA from 5 species
GGGUUGUGAGGUUAAGCGACUAAGCGUACACGGUGGAUGCCCUGGCAGUCAGAGGCGAUGAAGGGCGUGCUAAUCUGCGAUAAGCGCCGGUAAGGUGAUAUGAACCGUUAUAACCGGCGAUACCCGAAUGGGGAAACCCAGUGUGACUCGUCACACUAUCAUUAACUGAAUCCAUAGGUUAAUGAGGCGAACCGGGGGAACUGAAACAUCUAAGUACCCCGAGGAAAAGAAAUCAACCGAGAUUCCCCCAGUAGCGGCGAGCGAACGGGGAGGAGCCCAGAGCCUGAAUCAGCAUGUGUGUUAGUGGAAGCGUCUGGAAAGGCGCGCGAUACAGGGUGACAGCCCCGUACACAAAAGCGCAUGUGCUGUGAGCUCGAUGAGUAGGGCGGGACACGUGGUAUCCUGUCUGAAUAUGGGGGGACCAUCCUCCAAGGCUAAAUACUCCUGACUGACCGAUAGUGAACCAGUACCGUGAGGGAAAGGCGAAAAGAACCCCGGCGAGGGGAGUGAAAAAGAACCUGAAACCGUGUACGUACAAGCAGUGGGAGCACCCUUUGGGGUGUGACUGCGUACCUUUUGUAUAAUGGGUCAGCGACUUAUAUUCUGUAGCAAGGUUAACCG